AGUAAAAGUCGUAACAAGGUCUCCGUAGGUGAACCUGCGGAGGGAUCAUUACAAGUGACCCCGGUCUAACCACCGGGAUGUUCAUAACCCUUUGUUGUCCGACUCUGUUGCCUCCGGGGCGACCCUGCCUUCGGGCGGGGGCUCCGGGUGGACACUUCAAACUCUUGCGUAACUUUGCAGUCUGAGUAAACUUAAUUAAUAAAUUAAAACUUUUAACAACGGAUCUCUUGGUUCUGGCAUCGAUGAAGAACGCAGCGAAAUGCGAUAAGUAAUGUGAAUUGCAGAAUUCAGUGAAUCAUCGAAUCUUUGAACGCACAUUGCGCCCCCUGGUAUUCCGGGGGGCAUGCCUGUUCGAGCGUCAUUUCACCACUCAAGCCUCGCUUGGUAUUGGGCAACGCGGUCCGCCGCGUGCCUCAAAUCGACCGGCUGGGUCUUCUGUCCCCUAAGCGUUGUGGAAACUAUUCGCUAAAGGGUGUUCGGGAGGCUACGCCGUAAAACAACCCCAUUUCUAAGGUUGACCUCGGAUCAGGUAGGGAUACCCGCUGAACUUAAGCAUAUCAAUAAGCGGAGGAAAAGAAACCAACAGGGAUUGCCUUAGUAACG
rnacentral:rRNA from 1 species